rnacentral:rRNA from 1 species
UUANCAUGCAAGUCGCACGAACCUUUCGGGGUUAGUGGCGGACGGGUGAGUAACGCGUAGGAACCUAUCUGGAGGUGGGGGAUAACAUCGGGAAACUGGUGCUAAUACCGCAUGAUGCCUGAGGGCCAAAGGAGAGAUCCGCCAUUGGAGGGGCCUGCGUUCGAUUAGCUAGUUGGUUGGGUAAAGGCUGACCAAGGCGAUGAUCGAUAGCUGGUUUGAGAGGAUGAUCAGCCACACUGGGACUGAGACACGGCCCAGACUCCUACGGG